UUCCGGUUGAUCCUGCCGGACCCCACUGCUAUCGGGAUAGGACUAAGACAUGCUAGUCAAGCGUGCCAGUGCGGCGCACAGCUCAGUAGCACGUGGCUAACCUGCCCUUGGGACGGGGACACCCCCGGGAAACUGGGGUUAAUCCCCGAUAGGCGAAGAACUCUGGAAUGAGUCUCCACCCAAAGCUCGUACGCCCAAGGAUGGGGCCGCGACCGAUCAGGUUGUUGGUGGGGUAAUGGCUCACCAAGCCUAUAACCGGUACGGGCCGUGAGAGGGGAAGCCCGGAGAUGGGAACUGAGACAAGGUCCCAGGCCCUAAGGGGCGCAGCAGGCGCGAAACCUCCGCAAUGCGCGAAAGCGUGACGGGGUUACCCCGAGUGCCGUCCGAUGAGGAUGGCUUUUCAUCGGUGUACGUAUCCGGUGGAAUAAAGGGGGGGCAAGACUGGUGUCAGCCGCCGCGGUAAUACCAGCCCCCUGAGUGGUAAGGACGAUUAUUUGGCCUAAAGCGUCCGUAGCCGGCUUAGCAAGUCUUUUGUUAAAUCCAACGAUUCAAUCGUUAGGCCGCGGAAGAUACUGCUUGGCUUGAGGGCGGGAGAGGUCGACGGUAUUCCCGGGGUAGGGGUGAAAUCCAAUAAUCCCGGGAGGACCACCAGUGGCGAAGGCGAUCGACCAGAACGCGCCUGACGGUGAUGGACGAAAGCUGGGGUAGCGAACCGGAUUAGACACCCGGGUAGUCCCAGCUGUAAACGAUGCGAGCUAGGUGUUGGGGUAGCUACGAGCUACUCCAGUGCCGCAGAGAAGUCGUUAAGCUCGCCGCUUGGGGAGUACGGCCGCAAGGUUGAAACUUAAAGGAAUUGGCGGGGGAGCACCACAAGGGGUGAAGCCUGCGGUUUAAUUGGAGUCAACGCCGGA
rnacentral:rRNA from 1 species